UCUCUUAUGGUUAAUUAUUAUUAUCCGACCGCGUGAAUCGCGUGACCAGCGUCGUCCCACAGCCAUGAACCCGGAACCGCAUGCAUAUUUCCUACAUAAAGGAUUCCUUUCUUUUUUUCUUGCCAUUUUUUGUCGAGUUACUUCUUCCUCUUUCUUUUUUCGGUGAGACUCGAUCGACGUAAUCGCGACGAUGUGGCGAUCGUUAAGAUCAUCGACCAAGUCACGGGCGAAAUACCGCGGAACAGGUGAAAUUGUAUCGCGUUGAAACGUUCCAAAUAGAAAGUGCUGUGCACAGCCUCGUGAUUGCUACACCACCUCUCCCCCAAACGUAUUCGCGUCCGAUCGAAAUGGCAAAAUACAAGAAGCGAUCCUGUCAACGUUAAGCGAGCCGUUUAUUUGCCGAAUAAUUUGAGAAAACUAUUGGGUUGGCAACUGAGUGAUUGUAGAUUUUGUCACUAGGUGGUAUUGACAAAAUCCGCAAUUACUUAGUUGCCAACCCAAUAAAAGCAUAGGACGAAAGUAGAGAAUCUCGAACAAAUGAGAAAUAAGAGUAAUAAAUGUUUAACGUGAAAAGAAAGAAUACAUACGUAUAGUAUAAUUGUGAUUAAAAAUUUAAGAUGAACAAAUUGAUAAAAUAAUAAUGAGUUAGAGAUAUGAUCUAAAGAAAAUAGUAUCGAUUAUUUGAAAGCACGAUAAUAGUAAAACGUUAAAAUUGAAAGAGAAAGUAGAAAAUUACCUGAACUGUGAUAAAUAUGGAAAAAGUAAGUAAAACGGCGAGGAAAGGGUUAAUAACGUUAUUGGUAAUUUGGAAUAGAAAACGAUUGUGUCACAAAAUUACGGAUAUAAGUGUAAAUGUUUACGUUUUUAUUCUCAUGUUUCUGUGAGAAGAUAAUCGUUACUUUUGCACGCUUUAAGGGGAAAACAUUACGUAAAUUGUGGUCGUUUCUUGUAUAAUUUAAAUGGAGUUACAGCGAAAUCCCAAUCGAUCAUGUUUAAAGCGAUUGUUACGUGCAGAGUAGAUACGUGGAACGAUGAAAGUGCAUAGCAAUAAAAUGUGACAUUAAGACGUAUUUUUUCUUAUAUAAAACGUUCUAUUGCGUUUUCUUUUCGAUCGAGAAAAUGCCAAGUGGGAACGGUAUAUCGCGAAUAUGUUCAUUCGCUGAAGGACUGAUUCUCUAACGCGACAACAGCAGGCUACGCAAAUAUUGCCCGGAAUUUUCGUUUCAACAAUGAAGAGGGAAGCGCGUUUGAAAAAUGAGAAAUACUAAUAUACGAUGUUGAGAAUAUAUUGGCGGCACAAAGGAAUAGGAUGCGAGUAAAUUUUAUUGCAGCUGGAAUGAUUCACCCAGGACCCUUGCAGGACUUUUGCAGGACCUGAAUACACAUUCAAAUUCUACAAUUAAGUUUCACAACGAGAAAUUAUUUAUUUACAAAUGCUGUUACAUAUUAUAUAUUCUUUAUAAACAGUUUUUUAAACAAAUCCAAAUAAUAUUUUUUCGCAUCCAUAAUUCCCUUUCAAGGGGCAAAAAAUUCAAUGAAAGUACAAAAUCUGCAAUCAUGUAUGACUUUUGCAAAAAGCUAUUGAUGUUGUUUAAUUUCUGUAAAAAGUACAUUUCUCUGAAAGCGCCCGGAUUUUUGUCUAAAGUAUUAGGUUAUCCGAAAAGUGUGUUUCUUUCGUAAGCGUGUUUUUUACAACAGUACACCUUCAUAUAAACGUGAAACCAAGUCUGUGAAAUGUCGCGGUGUUUAUCUCAACAGAACAAAAUAGGUCCUAUGUAAUUCGAUAAAAUAAUAUAAAACAAAAAACGUUGUGCGUCUAUUAUUUCCUCAUAAAACGAAAGAAACUUCUCGGAUAACCUAAUAAUUUCCAGGAUAUGUGGACUUUAUGCAGUUACAUUGAACUUUGAUGAUUUUUGUCACUUCUUUAAACUGAAUCAUCGCUACUAAAAUAAUGUCUCGCAUUUGUUAAUGGUAUCAUCAUUCUGUAAAAAGUUAAUCAAAAUCGGUGUUUUUUAAUUGAGUAAUUUUCGUAGGCCGCGGGGUCUCUCAAAACGUUGGUCCGAACCUGCCUUGCGUCGAUCCUGGUUUCACUACAUGCUUUAUACAUUUUUUUUUUUUUUUAUUUAUUUAUUGAAAUUCACAAUUUGUCCAAUUUGGACAUUUGGUAGAAUUUUUUAACAGUUAUAUUAACAUGUUUGUGGCUAUCCCCAGCGGGGUACCAUCCUCGCGUUUGCUAGGUUAUAUCCUUUAUGAUAUGCUUUAUAAUGGCAGGAAAACGACUGAAAUAAAGGAAUCUUAUAGCAGGCAUCUUUCUUUGACUGUAAGUAUUUUGAGGUCGCGAUGGAUUAUUAAUAGCAGGCAUAAGCUAGAAAUACUGGCUAUUGUCAAAUCUGAAGAAAUUUAGAAUAGAUGAACGGUACAGUAAUCGUCGUUGUGAAUAAGAUUGAUUUACGAGUUAGGGUAACGAAAUAAAAAUCUUUAUUUGUAAAUGACGAAGGGACUAUAAUAACGAAUGGAUUGACGAUACCUGAGUAAAAGCAUAUUUGUAAGACUGCCAGGCCGAACAGAAUAUCAGAUAUAAUUAUAAUUAUAAUUAUAUUGCAAAUAUCUUGAGGAAGGGCUAUUAGUGAUGAGCCGACCGUACUUUAUCCGUGCGUUGUCCCCAUGCAAGUUAAUUUUCAAACGAGAUCUAUUCUUCUAUUUAUAGCUUUAUCAUCGUACAGUUGACAAAUACUUUCCUAUAAAUUUAUAUAAAUUAUUUUUAUUUAUAUAAGUUGUUGCACAAGUGUACGAAUAUAUACGAACAAUAGCAAGAAUAUGAAAUGAUGUAUAUAAACUUUGAUCACAGAUACCUUUCCGAUAUAAACUUCGAAUAUUGAUACAAAGAACAAAAAGUGGCUAUUUUUUAUAUAUCGAAAAAAGUUCAAAUGGAAACGGAAAAUUCCAGUCUGAGAGAGAAACAUAUUAUUGUACCUUUGGAUAUUAACGAUUGUUUCGGUUUACAAAAUCUAAAGGCAAAUAAAUUUAGAACAAAUUGUUAUUGCCGUUUCUUGUAAUCUUCAGCCGGAGUUACAUAAGAAGGUUAACUUUUUGUCGUAACGUCCGCCAAUAUAAACGUAUAAACGUAUUCCAUAGGAUAUUAUUAUUAUUAUUUUUUCGGUUGGCAUAAUAACGUUAAGUGAACGACGAUUAUAACUGACAUACACUAUCUCUUGUACUUGUACUGAUUUUAAUACAACUAACUAUUACAAAUUCA